AUUGAACGCUGGCGGCAGGCCUAACACAUGCAAGUCGAGCGGGUGGCGGACGGGUGAGUCAUGGGUGUGUAACUGGCCGAGGGGGGUGGCUAACGACUGGAAACGGUAGCUAAUACCGCAUACCAUCGAACCUGCCCAGGGGUGAUUAGCUAGUUGGUGGGGUAACGGCUCACCUAGGCGACGGUCCCUAGCUGGUCUGAGAGGAUGACCAGCCACACUGGAACUGAGACACGGUCCAGACUCCUACGGGAGGCAGCAGUGGGGAAUAUUGGACAAUGGGCGAAAGCCUGAUGCAGCCAUGCCGCGUGUAUGAAGAAGGCCUUCGGGUUGUAAAGUACUUUAAGCGAGGAGGCGUUACUCGCAGAAGAAGCACCGGCUAACUUCGUGCCAGCAGCCGCGGUAAUAC
rnacentral:rRNA from 1 species